GACGAACGCUGGCGGCGUGCUUAACACAUGCAAGUCGAACGGAAAGGCCCUGCUUGCCGGGUACUCGAGUGGCGAACGGGUGAGUAACACGUGGGUGAUCUGCCCUGCACUUCGGGAUAAGCCUGGGAAACUGGGUCUAAUACCGGAUAGGAGCCAUUUUUAGUGUGAUGGUUGGAAAGUUUUUUCGGUGUAGGAUGAGCUCGCGGCCUAUCAGCUUGUUGGUGGGGUAAUGGCCUACCAAGGCGGCGACGGGUAGCCGGCCUGAGAGGGUGGACGGCCACAUUGGACUGAGAUACGGCCCAGACUCCUACGGGAGGCAGCAGUGGGGAAUAUUGCACAAUGGGCGCAAGCCUGAUGCAGCGACGCCGCGUGGGGGAUGACGGCCUUCGGGUUGUAAACUCCUUUCGCUAGGGACGAAGCUUUUUGUGACGGUACCUAGAUAAGAAGCACCGGCUAACUACGUG
rnacentral:rRNA from 1 species